AGCAACUCUUCCUUUUGCCAGCAGAAGGCGAUGGAGACCAGCCUUGGCUGGACCACUUCCACCCCAGAGGCUCUUCACCGCCUCCCCAUCCAGACCCAAGGUUCCCUAGUGGUCCAGACGGUUUCCUUGGCAGCGCUGGCACCAGGCCCACCACAGCUGCCAAACAUGAGGUGAUGGGACAGCCCUCGUGGCCUCCACCCACCGCCCUGGUGGAGAAGUGAAACAUGAACCCACCAGUGCAAGACAGAGGAAGAGGCACCAGCGAAGUCACACUAGGGAGAAUCCACAUCAGCCUGGCCAUGCAGGGGAGGCCUCACGAAGCCCUGGGAAGCCAGAGCAAUAAAACUCUUGUUCAAACAAACGAUUACAGUGGUAAGACACGAAAAGGAAGCUGUUCCUGCUGAUGAAGGGUGAGAAACCUGGAGCCUUCCCUCCCUCCACGCCACGUGGCAGACACCUCAGGGAAUGCUGGGUCUCAGGAGAACAUGCCGAUCCCGUUAACACACAGUCUUCAUAUGAAACCAUGUGGGAACUCAACACAUGCUGUCUCCUCUCUAACCUGAGAUCCUGGCCCUGUUCCACAAAGCGAGGCAGCCUCUUAUAUACCCCUCACAAACCAAGUACUGGGGUGGUGGCCAAAGGGGAGAGACAGGCUAGGGUGUGGGUGGGCCGAAGAAAUCUGAGAGGGACAGGAGCUGCGGUGGCCUGGUCUCUGAGCCUGCAGAGGCUCCCUUCCAGAGAGAGAGCUUGGAACUCAGUCUCUGCCUCCCUCCUUCUCUCCCUCCCUCCAGCAGAACUGCCCUGCCCCAGGGGGUUCAUACCUCGCUAGUCCCCUAGGCCUACACCUUUCCUAAUCUUAGGAGAGACAUAAGAAAA
rnacentral:lncRNA from 1 species